ACGCCAGUAGCUCAAUUGGCAGAGCAGCGGAUUCCAAAUCCGCAGGUUGGGGGUUCGACUCCUCCCUGGCGUG
rnacentral:tRNA from 1 species